rnacentral:rRNA from 1 species
AUUGAACGCUGGCGGCAGGCUUAACACAUGCAAGUCGAACGAGUGGCGGACGGGUGAGUAAUGCUUGGGAAUCUGGAUUAUGGAGGGGGAUAACUACGGGAAACUGUAGCUAAUACCGCGUACCAUAGGAUGAGACCAUGUGGGAUUAGGUAGUUGGUGAGGUAAAGGCUCACCAAGACGACGAUCUCUAGCUGGUCUGAUAUGAUGACCAGCCAAACGGGGACUGAGACACGGCCCGGACUCCGACGGGAGGCAGCAGUGGGGAAUAUUGCGCAAUGGGGGAAACCUGACGCAGCCAUGCCGCGUGAAUGAAGAAGGCCUUCGGGUUGUAAAGUUCUUUCGGUAGCGAGGCGUUAACUACAGAAGAAGCACCGGCUAACUCCGUGCCAGCAGCCGCGGUAAUUC